GAGGGUAUAGCUAAAGGGGUAGAGCACAUGCUUAGCAUACACAAGGUCCUGGGUUCAAUCCCCAGUACCUCCU
rnacentral:tRNA from 1 species